rnacentral:rRNA from 1 species
UACGAAGGGGGGCUAGCGUUGCUCGGAAUCACUGGGCGUAAAGCGCACGUAGGCGGCCCUCUUAGUCGGACGUGAAAUCCCCCAGGCUUAACUUGGGAACUGCAUCCGAUACUGGCGGGCUUGAAUCCGGGAGAGGGAUGUGGAAUUCCAGGUGUAGCGGUGAAAAUGCGUAGAUAUCGUAAGGAAGACCAGUGGCGAAGGCGGGGUCUCUGGACAGU